CCCCCGGGACCCUCAGGGACCCCCUGGGACACCCAGGGACCCCCAAUGAUCCUCCCCGGGACCCCCCCUGGAACCCCAGGACUCCACAGGGACCCCCAGUGACCCCUGCACUGUCCCCAGAGUUGUGUCCGUGUGUCUCACCUGUCUCACCUGUCCCUGUUCCACCUCUGUGUGUGUGUCCUGUGUGUCUGUGUGUCCUGUGUGUGUUCCUGUGUGUCUCACCUGGCUCUGUUCCACCUCUGUGUGUGUGUCCUGUGUGUGUCUGUGUGUCCGUGUGUCUGUGUGUCUCACCUGGCCCUGUUCCACCUGUCUGUGUGUCCAUGUCUCACCUGUCCAUGUCUCACCUGUCCAUGUCUCACCUGUCUCACCUGUCCAUGUCUCACCUGUCCAUGUCUCACCUGUCCAUGUCUCACCUGUGUCUCACCUGUGCAGGUCCAGGUCCAGGAUGGUCCAGAUGAGAACGGGGAGAUGUUC
rnacentral:lncRNA from 1 species